UUUAAAAUGCAUCUCUGGGUUAUUUGUGGGGCAUAGGAAUUUUUUUUUGGAGGGGGGGAAUGAACAAAUUCCUAUGCCCCACAAAUAACCCAGAGAUGCAUUUUUAA